AAUGGGCGCAAGCCUGAUCCAGCAAUGCCGCGUGGGUGAAGACGGCCUGCGGGUUGUAAAGCCCUUUGGGCGGGGAGGAACGGCGUCGCGCGAACAGGGCGGCGCCCUGACGUUACCCGCGAAACAAGCACCGGCUAACUCCGUGCCAGCAGCCGCGGUAAUACGGAGGGUGCGAGCGUUAAUCGGAAUUACUGGGCGUAAAGCGUGCGUAGGCGGUCCGGUCAGUCAGCCGUGAAAGCCCCGGGCUCAACCUGGGAACGGCGGUUGAGACGGCCGGACUGGAGUGGGCUAGAGGAUCGUGGAAUUCCGGGUGUAGCGGUGAAAUGCGUAGAGAUCCGGAGGAACACCGAUGGCGAAGGCAGCGGUCUGGGGCCACACUGACGCUGAGGCACGAAAGCGUGGGGAGCAAA
rnacentral:rRNA from 1 species